rnacentral:lncRNA from 1 species
AUGAGUUGGAGGAAAUGUUUGAUAAAAUUUUCCUGUAUUCUCAGUGGGUUCUCACUGACAGGCUGUUCAAGGAAAAUUCAACAAAAAUGCCUGCCAUACCACGAAGAGGCAAACAGCCAGAGGAAAGCACUGUCUUAGAACCUGGCUCACCUGAUUUUGCCGAUGAGUCAACUUUGAAGUGUGCCUCAUUCUGGAAAGUGAAUCACGUAAUCAC